rnacentral:lncRNA from 1 species
AAACGAGACGAAUGUGGAAGGACAAGACUCUUACCUCAUCUGCGACGGAACACAAGAUUUGGGUUGCUCUGCAGGCCGUCGCUUGUCCACUCUGUCUUCACCUCAGCAAGUAUGACUAGACGGUUGGCUAUCAAGUUGCUCUAUUUUCAGGGGGAUGUGUGCGUCUCCAUCUUUUAUUUAUGUUUUCGAAUAGUGUGUGAUCUUCGCAAAAAACUACUUUCUGAUCUCUGCCUUCGUGAAAAGCCCGACCGAGCCUGGGAUGUGCUAUUUUCGUGGAGAAAGUAUACUGAACGUAGCUCCGUCUGCCAUGAUCUGCUCGAUCAAUCAAAAGUGGGUGAUGCCCAAAACGCCCACCAAAAUUCUUGUGGAACCCGAUUCCCGUUUACACUUUGAAUUCCGCAAGGAAACCCGUGUCCAUCCCCGGCUGCAUCACCCGGUGGUUUGUCACAACAAGCACAGCCAAGUCCUUUGCCAGCAACGUAUUCAGUUCCACGGCUGUCCUUCCAAACACCUUUCUUUCUAAAAUGGCUAAAGGUGUCCACAAGUGCAUUCCGUGUCGCCGGCGGGAAACUGGCACUCAAAUGUUUGCUCACGGCAAAAGAAAUCUGGGUUGUCGCCACGCCUGUAAGAUUCACAUUUGCGUCUUGAUGGUCUAGAACCUGUGGUUGGAUUUCCGACAAGAAUGGCGCUGCCAUACGCUUCGUCGACCUUGAAACUCCAAAAUGAACACAGCUCGUGGCCACGCAUGCUUUUGCACUGAAGGACUCUGUGUGUGAGCCUAACACAAAGAGGGCGUAUAGAGUGUGGACGAGGGCGGUACUACGAGAUGAAUAUGAGAUCGUGGGAAAGGACUGACUCGCAUUUCUAUUAGGAUGCGUAUUUGCGCCUGGACAAGGAAACGAGACAGAGAGUGUCCUUUGAUGGGAGUCCUUCUGUUCUCUGUCAAGCCUUUGGACCACUUUCCG